AAAAUCAAAACCCUCUCUCGACAGCGCCUCACUCUCGCCUCGCCUCACUCUCGACAGACCCAAACUCAAAACCAAAACUCUCUCUCGACUUGCCUCACACUCUGCACUCACUGGCAACCCCAACACUCCCUCUGCUUGGCAAAACCCGACCUCUCUCCCCCUCGACAAACCUUUUCUCGUCAAACCCUAUUUCUUCUUCUACAAACCCCAACCAAAGCUCUCUCUCUCUCUCUUCUCGACAAACCCAGACCAAAACCUAAUGGGUUAUUCGAUCUGGGAAAUAGUGAAGCCCUUCAUCGAUGUUGACCUCAACAACUCCGAGCUCUAUUCUGACCGCGCUCAGGCUAACAUCAAAUCCAACUAUCUCUGGUAACAACCCCCCUCUCUCUUGCAAUUUCCGAGAUCGGCUGUGUGUUUUUUGCUUUGUACAAAGUGAAAGAGAAAGAGAUUUGGGUAAUUUCUGGGCAUUUAAAAAGAUAAAUGCCCAAAUCGGUGAGUCGCUGUCUCGAAGAUUAGGGUUCUCCUGCCGCCGCUUGCCAUCGCCAUCGCCUCUCUUCAGUCUGGGUUCAAAUUUCAAAAUGACGAAGUCGCCAUCGCCAUUGUCCUUUCUGGCUCUCCUCUGUCCUCUCUGGCUCUCUCCCUCUCCAGGCUCCAGCAUGGUCACACAUCGACAAAACACAUCGACUGAGCAAUUUGCUCUCUUCAACUCUUCGGUCUCUUCCUGAAGCCGUCAAGCAACAAAGCAGAUUCUGGGUUCGACUCUUCAAGCUCAGUCAGUCGCUGAUUCUUCAAGGCUCAAGCUCGCUGCUUAGAGAAGCUAGCACUUCCGUUUUGGAGAUACUGAAAGUUGAUGUUAUCUCAUUUUUGUACAUUCCAAUACAGGUAGUUGGAAAAAAAGUAUAUAAGGCUCUAUCAUGCUUCAUUGUCAGAGGAACUCUAUGCACAUACUGAAACCAUGCUUUGCAACUCAAGUCAGAAUACCAAUUGCAGUGGGUUUCUUGGAAUGCAUGGUUGAAGGUCUUUGAUGCUGCAAUUGGCAACAUUGCCAUUGUUACAAAUUGAACGAAGAUGGUGGAUUUUACACAACUAUAUGCUGCAUCUGGACUUGUUGUAGUGGCCCCCUUUAAAAAAUUGAACUCUGGUGCUUGGACCUUCCUUCGACCAUUUACUGCACACAUGUGGAUAGUCAUUGCUGCUUCCUUUUUUGUUAUUGGUAUAGUUGUGAAGAUUUUGGAGCAUAGGAUAAAUGAUGAAUUCAGGGGUCCACCAAAGAAGCAACUUAUAACCAUCUUGUGGUUAUUGUGAAGGAGGGGAAACAUUUAAGUUCUGCUUCUUGGUUGCUUCUGUAAGUCAUUGAUGCACUGAAAAAUCAGUGAGACAGCGGUGGAUUCUGAGAAUGCUGUAGCUGCCGUAAAUGUAAGUACUUGGAGCACCAAAUGAGUGUAUUUGGCUGCUGUAUAAUUAGCACAACAACUUCCUGUUUUUGGAGCACUGCAACAUCCUAGAACUCUUUCAAUGAGGAAGCCCCAUUACUGUUCUUUAGGCCAUGGAGAGUGCCAAUGUUUUGAGGUGAAGCCUAAUUUUGAAGACAAAAGCUAAGAAGAGCAAGAGAUCAGUGAAUAGAACUUGACUUGGAUUUUUUUCUGUUCUCCUAUUUUGUAGAUACAAUUAGCAUUAUCAGACCCAUUUAGAUUAUUAUGGGAUUAUAACAACUAUCUAUUAUGAUUAAUUUUAUGUUCUUUUGGUCAUUUUUCA